GAUGUGGUUCACGGCUUUCUCCCAGGUGAAUCCUUCUCUAAAAACAUGGGUGAUGUUGGCCUCUCCAGUACAGGACACACUCAGAAUUACAAAUCUAAGGAUCUCAUGUAUCCCUGGCUGGCUUGCAACCUGCAGAGAUUCUCCUGCCUCUGCCUCCCAAGUGCUAGGAUUAAAGGUGUGCAUCAUCAUACUCAGCCUGCAAAAUUGUUCAUAAAAACAGUAUCUAACAUCUUUCUGUUGCCAAACUGAAAACCCAUCAACAGAUGUUACAGAUUAUUCCUGUAAAGAUACAUAUGAGUGAAAUGCAGACAAAUGAAGUUUUGCCCAAGCCUAGACAGAAAGACAAUGGUGGAGUUGGGUUAUGGAUGACGUUGGCUACUGUGUGUGCUUAUGUUACCAAUACAAAUACAUUCUAUAAUUAUAUGUCUAUGAGAAUGAGGAAUCCCCAUAUUGUAGAUAGAUGCCAGACAAGAUGAGUUUCAAUAGAGGCCAAUCAGGUUCCAGGAAUUGGUAUGGCUUAUAUUCAUGAUUGCUAGCUAGGAAAAAGUUAGAUUUUUGUGGAAUGAAGGAGUUUGAACUUGAGGUUUCAUUGUCUUAGUGUUGGCAGAACCAUUCUGGAACUUUCUUAGGCUAUGAAGAAGUCUACCAUGCGUAUCUUCCCUGUGACCUCUUCGGCUUGGUCUCUGGAUGUCCUCUCCCCUUGUGACAUGAUUGCAUCCUAACUACGAGUUUUCAGCUGCUCACACUGUGAAAUCAAAUAAAAUCCCCACAAUGUGGCCCCAUGAAUGAAAGCCCCCCUUCCACAGAAACUCACUGGCACACCAACCAAGGGCACUAUCCAAGAUUCUUCUUAAGAAAUGCAGCCUCCAAAACAGAGGCCAGUGGUGGCCAAUGAUGGCCCUGAUCAGGUAGAAUUCUCUGUAGGAAGGUAUUGUUGGUAGUGUUGUGGUUCUAUAUCAUGAACAAAAGACUGUGAGCGCUACCUCAGUGUUAGUGCACUUAAAAUUAAAACUGUUCGAAUCAGGUUCUCGAAAUAAAGUUGGAGCUUUAUGUGAAAAUAUCAUCUUCGUUUUACAUUCUGAGAAGCUCUCCAAGCUCUUAGGGCUAAAAUGAGGACUCCUGGGCCUAGAUCGAGUGAGCACCCAAUUAGGAUCAAGCAAGAAAGACUUCAGGUCCCACAGCAGCUGAGUUCUCAGGUUAAACAAAGAAUAUCUUUCAGUGGCCUCAUUAUGCAGUAAGAAUUUACCGUUUAGGAGCUUUCUACAAGAUAAAUCUCAGUCUUUAGAUUCCUGGCUGCUUAGAUUAAAGCUACCCCACCGCGGAAGCUGUCUCUAUCACAUGAUGCUCGCGGGCAGAAGCCAACAAUUCUAUGCUCCUCCAAGUUGGAUGCUACCCUCAAAUCUCAGCCAGCUGGGAAAGCAUCCUGAUCUGAAGUUCAUCCAGGCUGCCCUGGGUGAGGUUAGAAACACACAGCCACUGUUGCUAGUGACAUCUCACUCUCUGUGAGACUGAAAGGUUUCAGUUCUUCAAAAUAAUAAUAUACCUUUGGUCACAAGGGACAGAUUUGUAGGGGAGGGGAAACAAAAACAUGCAACUGGUUGGAAGAAUUCCUUUUGGAAAAAAAUGUCACACAUACACCAAAACAUUAGGACUUUCAGGCACCUUCCUCUCAGGAAUUCUCAGAGAGGCAAUCAUCUUCAAAGGUGAAGAAGUGAGAUUUGCUCUCUGAGUUCGGGAUUUACCCAGUGUGGCCAGGACACAAAGGUCUUUUCUCCUCUCUGGCAUGAAUUGUUUUAAAUGUGGAAGAUGGAUGCCUAUAAAAAAUAUGAAGUUCUGAAAAAAAAAAAAAGAUCUGUUUUUCUAUCUCACAUAGUAGCCCCCAUAUGUACUUAGCGACCAAAGAGUGGGUAAGAAAGAAGGCAGUGGACGGAUCUUGGUUCUGGGGUAAAGUGUGGGUGGCAGCAUCAGCUGUGUGCCCCACCCAUCGAAGUCUAGAAAGGGUCAGAAAUGUAGGAUAUUCCUGUAGCUUCUUCCAACACGCUUUUUAAAAAGCUGAAAGC
ensembl:antisense Gm15638 predicted gene 15638